rnacentral:rRNA from 1 species
UACAGAGGUCUCAAGCGUUGUUCGGAUUCAUUGGGCGUAAAGGGUGCGUAGGCGGCGCGGUAAGUCGGGUGUGAAAUCUCGGAGCUUAACUCCGAAACUGCAUUCGAUACUGCCGUGCUUGAGGACUGGAGAGGAGACUGGAAUUUACGGUGUAGCGGUGAAAUGCGUAGAUAUCGUAAGGAAGACCAGUGGCGAAGGCGGGUCUCUGGACAGUUCCUGACGCUGAGGCGCGAAAGCUAGGGGAGCGAACGGG